rnacentral:rRNA from 1 species
UACGUAGGGGGCGAGCGUUGUCCGGAUUUAUUGGGCGUAAAGAGCUCGUAGGCGGCUGGGCAAGUCGGGUGUGAAAACUCCAGGCUCAACUUGGAGACGCCACUUGAUACUGCCCUGGCUUGAGUCCGGUAGGGGAGCGCGGAAUUCCCGGUGUAGCGGUGAAAUGCGCAGAUAUCGGGAAGAACACCCGUGGCGAAGGCGGCUCUCUGGGGCGGUACUGACGCUGAGACGCGAAAGCGUGGGGAGCGAACAGG